rnacentral:SRP_RNA from 1 species
CUAUGCUGGAAUUUGCGACGGGUUGAC